GUGAGGAAUAUUGGUCAAUGGACGAGAGUCUGAACCAGCCAAGUAGCGUGAAGGAUGACUGCCCUAUGGGUUGUAAACUUCUUUUAUACGGGAAUAAAGUGAGGCACGUGUGCCUUUUUGUAUGUACCGUAUGAAUAAGGAUCGGCUAACUCCGUGCCAGCAGCCGCGGUAAUACGGAGGAUCCGAGCGUUAUCCGGAUUUAUUGGGUUUAAAGGGAGCGUAGGCGGACGCUUAAGUCAGUUGUGAAAGUUUGCGGCUCAACCGUAAAAUUGCAGUUGAUACUGGGUGUAUUGAGUACAGUAGAGGCAGGCGGAAUUCGUGGUGUAGCGGUGAAAUGCUUAGAUAUCACGAAGAACUCCGAUUGCGAAGGCAGCCUGCUGGACUGUAACUGACGCUGAUGCUCGAAAGUGUGGGUAUCAAACAGGAUUAGAAACCCCAGUAGUCC
rnacentral:rRNA from 1 species